CCUGGUAGGAAAAGCUGUUGCAGCAAUAGAAUGAAAUGCUGCCAAAUCUUACUGGGACGUGCACAGUGACAGAAGUCUGGUAGAAGAAGCAGAGGAUCUACUGAAAGGAGUUAAUGAUUUACCAUCAGUUAAUAUCUUUACUGGCAAUUUCAGCAGAGAAUUUGUAAACUCUCUCAUCCCCAUCAUUGUGAGUGGGGCACCGUGUGUGGGCAAAUGAGGAGGUCUACUUGAAGGGCCUGGGCAGUAGAAAUCUUCUUGGAAGGGCUGAUUUGAAAGGUCUGCAUUGUUGAAGAAAGAUAUAUUCAAGUUUGUCAGAGGUAUAAAGAGACUGAUUAAAGCACUUUUCUUCUCUGAGUUUCUAAGGUAUCAGUUUUAUGUGAUUUCAUCAUGAAAAGACUUCUCAACAGAAAUUGAGAGAACUGAUGCAUGAUAGUAUUCCUUACUCUGUUUUGCUUUCUAGGCAUCGAAGAAUUCAGAUAAACUCACUUAAUAAAAGAUUUUGGAUUUUUUUUGCUUGUCAUAAAGGUGCAAAAUUGGAUAGUUCAGAAUUCCCCUCUCUUUGCAAAUAUGCUUAAAAGAAUGACUUUUGGAGAUUUUGUGGUAUUAUCUCGUCACAGCUUAUGUGCCAUUGCCUAUGUUUUGCUCAGACUUUGUUUUAUAAUUGUUGU